rnacentral:rRNA from 1 species
CCUACGGGUGGCAGCAGUGGGGAAUAUUGGGCAAUGGGCGCAAGCCUGACCCAGCAACGCCGCGUGAAGGAAGAAGGCUUUCGGGUUGUAAACUUCUUUUCUCAGGGACGAUGAUAGCGACGGUACCUGAGGAAUAAGCCACGGCUAACUACGUGCCAGCCGCCGCGGUACUACGUAGGUGGCAAGCGUUAUCCGGAUUUACUGGGUGUAAAUGGCGCGUAGGCGGGACUGCAAGUCAGAUGUGAAAACCACGGGCUCAACCUGUGGCCUGCAUUUGAAACUGUAGUUCUUGAGUACUGGAGAGGCAGACGGAAUUCCUGGUGUAGCGGUGAAAUGCGUAGAUAUUAGGAGGAACACCAGUGGCGAAGGCGGUCUGCUGGACAGCUACUGACGCUGAGGCGCGAAAGCGUGGGGAGCAAACAGGAUUAGAUACCCGAGUAGUC